GUGCUGUAUGAAAGGAGUGAAGACUAGUACUCCUCUUGAUAAGGAUGGAAGCGGCCCUUGGGCCUGACAACAUGCACACGUUUAAAAAAAUUAAAAAAAAUUGAGCCUCUU
ensembl:snRNA